UGGUUACUAUAGCAAAGAGGAUACACCUGUUCCCAUUCCGAACACAGAAGUUAAGCUCUUUAGCGCCGAUGGUACUUGGUGGGAAGCUGCCUGGGAGAGUAGGACGUAGCCNGUA
rnacentral:rRNA from 1 species